UCAAGAAACUUCCACAAUGGGCGAAAGCCUGAUGGAGCGACGUCGCGUGAUGGACGAAGUGCUUCGGCACGUAAACAUCUUUUAUGUGGGAUGAAAUUAUUGACAGUACCACAUGAAUAAGGGGCUCCUAACUCUGUGCCAGCAGGAGCGGUAAUACAGAGGCCCCAAGCGUUAUCCGGAAUCACUGGGCGUAAAGGGUGUCGAGGCGGUUGUAUUAGUCGUUCGUAAAAUCUACGAGCUUAACUUGUAGGCGGCGAACGAAACGGUACGACUUGAGGUUUGGAGAGGUGCGUGGAACUCACGGUGUAGGGGUGAAAUCUGUUGAUAUCGUGGGGAACACCAAAGGCGAAGGCAGCGCACUGGCCAAAAUCUGACGCUCACACACGAAAGCUAGGGUAGCGAAGAGGAUUAGAUACCCCUGUAGUCCCUGAGCGGGCUGGCAAGGCGCAU
rnacentral:rRNA from 1 species